AUUGAACGCUGGCGGCAGGCCUAACACAUGCAAGUCGAGCGGAUGAAGGGAGCUUGCUCCUGGAUUCAGCGGCGGACGGGUGAGUAAUGCCUAGGAAUCUGCCUGGUAGUGGGGGAUAACGUCCGGAAACGGGCGCUAAUACCGCAUACGUCCUGAGGGAGAAAGUGGGGGAUCUUCGGACCUCACGCUAUCAGAUGAGCCUAGGUCGGAUUAGCUAGUUGGUGGGGUAAAGGCCUACCAAGGCGACGAUCCGUAACUGGUCUGAGAGGAUGAUCAGUCACACUGGAACUGAGACACGGUCCAGACUCCUACGGGAGGCAGCAGUGGGGAAUCUUCGGCAAUGGGCGAAAGCCUGAUCCAGCAAUGCCGCGUGAGUGAAGAAGGUCUUCGGAUUGUAAAGCACUUUAAGUUGGGAGGAAGGGCAGUAAGUUUAUACCUUGCUGUUUUGACGUUACCAACAGAAUAAGCACCGGCUAACUUCGUG
rnacentral:rRNA from 1 species